GUGUUGUAAUGAAAGGAGAGAAGGUUAGCACUCCCCUUGACAAGGAUAGAAGAGGCUUUGGCCUGCAACACGCAUACAGUUAAGGCCCUGCCACCUACUUUGUGGCAUCUAACCAAAGAAUUUU